GACAGGGGUCUCGAGCGUUAAUCGGAAUCACUGGGCUUAAAGGGUGCGUAGGCGGUCCCGCAAGUGUCUUGUGAAAUCCCCCGGCUCAACCGGGGAAUUGCUGGGCAAACUGCGGGACUCGAGGAAGGUAGAGGCCGGUAGAACGAUAGGUGGAGCGGUGGAAUGCGUAGAGAUCUAUCGGAAUGCCGAAGGUGAAGACAGCCGGCUGGGCCUUUCCUGACGCUGAGGCACGAAAGCGUGGGGAGCAAACCGG
rnacentral:rRNA from 1 species